GAAAUAAAACAUUUUGACUUUAUAGGACUAACGGUAAUCAGAGUACCAAAGAGAACAGUAAGACAACAAAUCGCCCUAGUUGGAUUUUGAGUACUUGUCUGACUUCAGAAACGUCUGUGAAAAGUGCGGACCACAAACUUCCUCUGCUAGAACUAGAGGAAGCUUUGGAAGUAGCUAAAAACAACCUUCAGCAGAUGAAGACUACGGAGGAGGUAGACCANGAAGUUCUAUGUCUCAGCUUGGUGUACAG
rnacentral:lncRNA from 1 species